AAAAAAAAAAAAUCACGCCCGUGAGGCUGUCAAGGUCCUCACUGUACAAUUUCCUAUCUAUCUCAGUGCCUCUCACCAAGCCGCCCCCUCCCCUGCAUGUGACGCAGAUGUUCUCUGGGGCUGUCAGUGUGAAGAGAUGGAAAAAAAAGAUGCUUCAGUCUUCUUCAUGCAAAAUGCAUGACAUUUUGAUGAAGAAGAAAAAAAGAGAUAUCACUGUGCUUUGGAUAAAGAUAAUACUAGGAUGAAUGGUUUUGAAACAAUUCUCACUUGAAUGUGGGAAUUCACACAUGAGUGAAUGAACAUGUACUUCAACGAUAAAGAUGCUGAUUUUGUGAGUGGUUCAUUAUACAUUCAGAAGCAAGAAUCUGAGGGUGUUAAAAAGAUGCUGUGAAACAGAUCCAUAGAAUACUCACGCCAAAGAGAGCAGAGAAAUAAAUUGAUGGGACUGGACAUCCACUGAGAGAUCAAAAGUUGCUGAAGAAAGUGUCAGUAUGGUAAGUGAUAAACAAAUAAAUAAUGUAUUAGACUUUUUCUUUAAACUUUUAUUGUGUGUAAAGCCUUUCAACAGGCUUUAUGAAAUGUAGAUAUAUUCUGAAUUGGUUUUGAUAAGUGAACUAGGAAACACUGGGAAAAUAUUGUACCAGUAAGAAACUAAAGUGUCAUUUUGUGUAGAAUGUAUACAAAGUUUCAAGUUGUUGAGCUGAUUUUCCUCCCAUAAUAGUAUAGACACAUGGGUAGACAAAUUUGAAAUACUGUAACUACAUCUACAAUUAUUAAAUAUGAUUGUUUUCUAAUGCAAGAAAGGAAUUAUGAAACCAGACAAACAGUAAACCACUUGCUAGCUCUUGUGUUGUGUUUUUUUUUUCUUUGUAGCGAGUUUUCAGCUGAAAUUGAACUUUUGAGAAUGAUUUUGCCUUCUGAUAAGAUAAAAGAUCAAAUUAUGUUAUUUCUCAAAAUUAACCAUGAAUUAGAAAAACACAGGAUAGAUUUCUGUAAGUGUGGUGACAUGACCAGCUGCAUUUAUUUCAGGGGGUUACAGAAAUUACUUCUACAUAGUUGUUGUUUACUGCCUCCUUAGCAAUGCCAGAUAAAAUAAUGAUACAAGAAUUGCCCGCAGUAGUGAUUUGAACAUAUACAUUUCAUUCUUCAUUGCAGGAGCCUAGAAGAGCACAGUCAGUUAUCCUAUAUGUGCUUGAGGGACAGUCACUUCUUAAACCAUUUCAUUAUGGUACCAAUCAGUUGUAUAAACUGACCCUAAAGCAGUUUUUAAAUGGUCAGAGAAUUUCACUUAAGAAGUGUGAACGCUGCAUGAUUUGUCAUGGAUAACGAUUCACAACUAAACUAAGGCUAGAUAACAUAAAAUUAUGAAAACAGAUAAAUAAAUAUUAAAUUUAGAAAAGUAGGAAAAUUUUAGAAUAUUAAGGUUCUUCAAUUAUAAAAUCAAUCCCCAGAGGUUUUCUGUUUGCAAUGGUUGUCAGCUGUCUUGAGAAAUACAUAAUUUUGAUCUGUAGUUCCCAAGCUGGCUAUGGACUACCCUUAUUUGAAAAAUGUCAUGCUUUCUUUCCCAAAUUAUGGUCAAGAGAAACAGCUGAACUCCAUCUGGUACAGGUUUGACAGAGCACACACCUUUGUGCUCCUAUGCUUUAUUCCACAUUAUAUCCUUAGACUUCACCAUUUGGAAGCUGCUCAUCUGUCCCAUUUGCUGAUUCACAUAGAAGCUGUUCCUAUCUGACUUAGGUGAUAGAAUUUCUUAUUAAAAUAACUAUGUUGUUUUAUUUUGUUUUAAAUCUAACAUUUUUAGCAGUGCUGCUGUGGAUGAUAACUUUGAUCAGUUUCUCUUCUCUGUGAAAUUUCUGGUGAUACAAAGAAAAUAAGAUAUUUUUUCUUAGCUAGAUUCAAUAAUAGUUGUGGUCAUUUUUUCUGUGACUCAGAACCUUCUUAGAACUGGUUUACUUUCAUGUUCUGUUCAAAAAAGAUGCAGUUUCCUGCUGAUCUUUAAUUUAGCAUUUACUUUUCGAUCCAGAGUAAAAACUUCUUUCAAAUAUUAUAUAUUAGCAAAUGACAACAACGGAGAUACCCAUAGUUUGCAAAAUGGGCUGUAUAAAAAGAGAAAUAUCUGGGAAAUUACCACUGCACAUAUACUAGUAAAUUAAAUUAGACUUCAUUAAAUUAAACAGAGCCAAUGUAACUGAUAAGGCAUUAUCACAGUCUCUAAAGUGGUUUGGGUUUGUACAAAGUAGCAUCUCGUGAACUUGUUCAGGAGUUAGCAAGUCAGGACACAUGCUCAAUAGGCACUUUGGGUGUAGCUAUUGUUUUAGAGGAUAAAAGCGUUUAGCCAUAUGGAUGUAAAUUGUGCCAUGCCGUUUGGCCUGAGUCCCAGAGCUGAACAGAGCAGAGAACAGGCACUGGGUGAUUUUGUUUCCUGUUCUAGACAUGACCUUAUGAUGCUUAUGUUUAAGUUUAGAGGUUCUUUUGAAGUUAAAAAACAAAUUAUUUCAGGGGGUUUUCACCCUUGAAAACCUUUCAGUAUUUGAAAGAAAACUGAAGACUUCUAGACUUCUCUUAAGAACAAAGAUCAGUUGGGAUAACAGCAGAUUUGUGAUGCCACAUCACUGGAGAAGUUAACUUUUGAGUAACUUUAUUUUCAAGUUGAUAUGUUCUUCUCUAGUGUUUGAAUAAGCAGCAUUUUUAAUCCAUGUCAGAAGACACUGGGACGUAGUAAAGUGAAUACAGGCGAGUCACUGAAGAUGGAGGAAAGAAGUUGGCUGGUUGAGACCAACAUGUUUUUGGUAUUCACCCACAACUGCUAAGAGAUAUUUUGUAAUGUCCCUCUGUGGAUAGGUUGUUUUAAAAGAACCGUCUUUUUUGUUUGUUUGGUUUUUUGUUUGGCUGUUUUGGUUUGUUUGUUUGUUUGUUGUUAAUCUGACUUGUAGUUUCAUAUAUUGCUUUAUUUUAUAGGAAAACUUGCUAACCCUAUAGAAUUUAGCUUUAAAAAUCAAAAUGCUUUAUCCAAGUAACAGGAUAUUGGAUUAUUUUAAAGAAUCUUCUCUGACUAUAUUAUUUACCUUCUAAAUGGCAAUCUUUGUAAUCAGAGUAGAAAAAUAAAUAAGUGGAAAUUAGAAAAUAUCAACCGUACUACAACACAUAUAGACUUUUAUUUUGAGGAAUACUAAAUGAAUAGCAUGUAAUUGCUCAGAUUCACACGUGUAGUAACAAGUGUAAUAAUCUUAUAUUUUUAUAUUAAAGUUUUGCUAUUUAAGAAAUAAACUGAAGAGCAAAAUACUGUUAUUUUAGUGUUACUGUUGUAUGCACUUCUAAAAGAAGAUUUUCCUCCUGUAGCAUACAAGUAAAAUAUUUUGAAGUACAGAACAGCAAUUAACUUCUAUUAAUGUUACGAAUGAACUUCUAUUUUUUUUCUUUGCCAUUGAAAAGUAUAAGAAAAACUUCUGUAAUUUAACUGCAUCAAGAUAAAAUCAAAUAAUGUAGACGGUCCUAUACAUCUCAUUCACACAGAAUUACUCAAGCAGUAAAUCUUGUUACUCUGUUGCCUGUUAUUGAGACCAAGUAUUAAAACGAGCAAUAUAUGAUCAUCAUGAUGUCUCCUCACUUUAUCUCCAGCUCAGAGUCUCCUUGCCCUUUGGGUGCUAUCUUCCUUUCCAUACUGCUUUAACUUUUGAAUACAUGCACUUAGAGGGGAAGCAUUUCACGAUUUUCAUGUGUGUCUCAUGGUAUGUGACACCCCUGUCUUCACAAUGGUGUGUUCUGUUGCUUGAGUUGUUAUUUAACAUCAAACUUAUACUGUCCUAUAUUUCACACAUUUUCUGGUCUCAAUAGACAGAUCCCAAGUCUCUGAAAAAUUGUAUACUUCCAGUUUAGGUAGCUACAUUUUUUCCCCACAAAAAUUAAACUUUCUAGUUGCAAUCAAGGUAUUUAUUGCUUGUGCCAAGUGCCUUGUCAUUACAUUAUUAAGAUUAGUUGAAAAUUUUACAUUGCAGUGACAUAGACUUUGCUUCGGUUAUUCUCAGGUAAUGACGGAUGUUUGGGCAGAUUCUGACUUCAUAGUUAAAUAGAGCAAUCUUCCUUUCUGGGAAACCUAACAAGGAAAGGCACAUAUAGUAAUCUUGGUGGAGAUCUCUGAAUGACAUUUUAAUUUUAAAGUAACUGUUAAUGUCACUGAAAUCUUUAUUUACUAUGCAUAUUACUGGUUUUUGUCUUACAUCACAAUCAGGUAAAUCAUUCAAAACUGCAGAAAGUAUUUACAGUAUUUCUUGCAGAAAUGUAUUAUUUCUUUAAAAGGAUUCUUCAGUAUUUAGCAUAAAAUAAGCUCUUGUAUGCUUCUCUUGUCCUUCCUUUUGAACAGGAAAGAUGGGUCUUUGUUUAUGAUUAUGCGUACCUAUGGUCUUUUAUUUGUUUACAUUCAGCAUUUCACCACAUUAACAAAACAGAUAUUUGAGAAUGUUAUUUUUUGUUUUGAUUAUUUAUAUUUUCAGUUGACCCGAGUGUUCCAGAGAGUGUACUGUUGUUUUUGUUUGUGAUUUGGGUUUUGUUUGUUUGUUUGUUUCCCUUGAAAAAUGUUUUUUUUUUAAUUUAGAUGAGAUUAUUGUAUUUGCUUGUACAAUUUGGGAGGAUAGUUUUCCAUCCAAAUGCCAUGAAACCUUCAGUAACAAGUGUUAACGUCACAAGUUAAAAUCACAGACUGGUUGAAAUUUCCUCUUUCAAACUACAUAAUACAAAAGCAGAAUGGGUAUGGAAACUUUAUUUUUUUAUAUAUUUCAUAGUAUUACAUAGUUGAUGUUUUACAUAUUUAUAGUUGUUCUUCCAUGCAGGUUUGUUUUCCUACUGUGUUUUCUCUGAUUUUACCUAAUGAAGGACUGUAUCUUUUUAAUCCCUUAGCCACAGUUUUUUUACACUGGCAGAAUGUGUAACUUCUGACAUGGCAAGUAUGUUCUACCUUCAUGUUUCAACGAUCUUUUUGUCAAGAAAAGUCUAGACAUGAACUACAGUGUAGAAUUAGACAACAAAGAAUUUUCAAUCCUGUCUCCUCAAAGCUAAGUGAACUAUAACUAUUUCUGACAGAUAUGUUUGUUUUGGUUUUUUUUAAUGCUUAUGAUGAAAAUUCCACAUUUUUCCUAUUUUAUUCCAGUAUAUCUUGGCAGUUACAUAAAGCUGCAUAUAAAUUAAAAAUAUAUGUAAAGUUGAGACGUGAUGUGUUGUAUGUAGCUGCAAGUAUAUCACACAGAAUCACAGAAUGUUAGGGAUUGGAAGGGACCUCAAAGAUCAUCUAGUCCAAUCCCCCUGCUGGAGCAGGAACACCUAGAUGAGGUUACACAGGAAUGUGUUCAGGCGGAUUUUGAAUGUCUUCAGAAGAGGAGACUCCACAACCUCCCUGGGCAGCCUGUUCCAGUGCUCUGUCACCCUCACUGAGAAGAAGUUUUUUUUCAAAUUUAAGUGGAACCUCUUGUGUUCCAGUUUGAACCCAUUACCCCUUGUCCUACCACUGGUUGUCACCGAGAAGAGUCUGGCUCCAUCCUCAUGAUACUCACCCUUUAUAUAUUUGUAAACACUAAUAAAGUCACCAAUGAGAUAAGGACUGACAGAAUUUUAUUUAUUUUGAUAUAACUUGAGUUUGGCAGUUAGAUUUCUACAUAAUGUAACCAAUAAGGAGGCAUAAUUAACAGUGAAGUUCAGUAAUUAGGCUGCUGUGAUUUCCGGAACAUGUGCUACCUGUCCAAUGGGAGUUAUAUGAGCAGUAGAAAGUAAUAUCUUCAGAUAUGAUUGAAACUGAUCAGGAAGGAACCUACAAAAAAUAAUAUUUAUUUCUGAUGAUCUAAAGAAGAGGACUAGAAGAAAAUCCUAAUUGACAGAAUCAUUCUGAUAACCUUUUGGGCAAUUUUCUUGUUUGCCCCAAACAUUCACAUGUGCUGUUUGGCAAUCAGGCUGUAGUUUUAAGUGAAGGUAACAACAAUCUUUCAUACUUUUUUUAAACCAAAAGAGCAUUACUGUCAACAUUCUGUUUGGGUUUUUUUCUGAAAGAAAAAACUUCAGUUUCUCAAGAUCAUUUGAAUUUUAAUGCGGUCUCCAAAGCCUAGUCUGAAGUGAUCUGCAAAUUGAAUGGUGUACUCUUAUUUUCUAUUAUAAAAUGAUAAAUGUAUCAAAUAGUACUGAAGUAAAGACAAAUAUAUACAUAAACAUGCUUAACAUUUUUUCUUAUUCUACUGUGACCAAUUAAUAGCAGCUGAGUCCACUUUUCCAACUAUUUAUACACUCACCUUGCAGCAGUUUUUUCGUAACUGUGAUUUUCUAGGUCAUUUAAGAAAAUACAAUAGUACCAGGCACUAUCUGAAAUACCCGUUACUUUUAAGAUACUAAUGAGAUGAGGUGCCCUGUUGAAGGAAAUUUGUUUGUAAUGCAAUUAUUUAUUGUCUGACAAUAAUCACCUUUUGAUUUUCUGUAUCUUUCUACUAAGAUAUAUUUCAUGGACAGAAGUUAGAUAACUGUGGCCUUUUUUCUCCUUAAAAAAAUAAAUAAAAUAAUAAUAAUAAUAAUAAUAAUAAUAAUAAUAAUAAUAAUAAUAAUAAUAAUAAUAAUAAUAAUAAUAAUAAUAAUGUUUGCCCUUUUCUAAUCUUCUGGAAGAUCAUUUAUUCUCUUUAUGUUCUCAAAGGUGACGCUAACAUGAGAUUUUGUCAGCCAUUUUUCUAAGUACUUCAUGGAAAAUUUCAUCAACCUCAUGAAAUUUCAUCUAAGAUAAGUAAUGUUUUUUAUGUCUGUGUUGAUGUGAUGUCCAUUCAUGCAUAACCUCCUUAAUGAAAACUGAAGCAGGAAACGUGUAAACACUUCAUCCUUCCCAGCAUCAGUAGUGUUUGGUGCUCCUUAAGUAAUGACUCAAGUCUUUCUUGACUAUCCUUUUGCUUCUGAUAAACUGACAGGAUAUUUUCGCUUCCUGGUUAGAUUUUUCCCAUUCCUCAGCUAUCCUGGUUACUGUUAGGUUACUAAAGGCAAGUAAAUUAAUACUAGCUCAGUGGUCAAAUGGAAAAAGACUGCUUAAACUUAGCCAUCUUAAUGACAGAUUAGUCUUGAAGAUAACUAAUGACAGAUGUGCAAAAAAGAGCAGUUAAGCAUUGUAGACUUUCAGGAGUACAAAUCUUUCCCUUGUCCUCUUUCAUCCAUGAGUGUAAUUGACCUCUCUGACUUUUCCCUAAGGUACUUUUUUCUGUACCGUUGUUCAUCUGUGCAACACAGGUUACAAUAUUUUCUGAUAAUGUCUGAACCAGUCACUUUGAGUUUUCUUGAUAAUCAGUAGGAAGAAGACAGUAUUCAGUUUCAACUUUUUUUUUUUUUUUUUAAUUUAAUGUAAUUGAAAGCUAGUUUUUUUGUUCAGUUGUACACAGAAACGAUUACGAAGAAGAAAUAACAUGGAGUUCUGAAAAUGGACAGAUAAAUAUCAUUACUUAACAAAUACUGCUGACUUCAAUAGAACUAAUCAUGUUCUCUUUGUGGCUUUAGGGGUUUUGUUUAUUUGUUUUGCAAUAAUUUCAGAUCAAAACAAUAAUUUCCAAGUGCACAACAGUAUUGCUUUCUUAGAACUGCAAUUCUUAUACUGUGGUCAAGACUUUUCAGGAAAAUGAAAUUUUAAAAUUUCUGUUCUUCUACUGUUGUUCUACGUAUGAAACCAACUCAAUUAUUUUGUUCAUGUUGUCCUUAUUUAUGUUUAAUGAUAAACACGAGUCUCUGAUAAUGUUCAAGGAAUGUAUUAUUUUAGGUAAUAUUCUGAGUUUAAGGUUUAUAGUGUACAAAAUCUGAAUAAAAUUAUAAAUUUGGAGAAAAGGCAUUUGAAGUUAUAUUUUAGUAGCUCAUGACUCAUUUAUUUAUCCUGGAAGUUUGGGUGCUUUUGUCCUCUUUUGCUCAACAUUAUUUUUACCACUACUCUGUCUUCAAGGAAAAAUAUGUCCUACAAUCACAAUUUUAUGAAUUACACACAGACAAAAAUUGAUACUUUAAAAAAAAAGUUAAUAGCAAGAGGAGGUCUAAAUAAAACAUUGGAUGCACACUUGUUGAAGGUGGUCUGCUGACUAAUAGGGAUGAAAGAAAAGCAGAGGCAUUCAAUGCUUCUCUUGUUCCAGUCUUUAAUAAUGCUGAUGGAUGUCAGGCAUCCUGGUCCCGAGUCGAAGGACCAUGAGUUUGGGAACAGUGAAUUUCAUUUUUUGGACACUGAAAUUGUAAGGAACCAGCUCUAUCAGCUGAAUGUUCACAAGUCCAUGGGGCUUGAUGGGAUUAACCCCAGAGUACUGAAGGAGCUGGCAAAUGUUACGGCAGGACCCUUCUUGGUCAUCUACCAAAAGUCUCAGGAUCCUGGGAAGGUCCCUGACUGGUGAGCUGACUGACAGCUCACCAAUGCUGCCACAGUAAAGCUGGUCAAAGGGCUGGAAAGAAUGACCUAUGAGGAGCAGCUGAGGACUUUGUGUUUGUCUUGUUUGGAGAAAAGGAGGCUGAGGGGUGACCUCAUUGCUGUCUACAGCUUCUGAAGGAGGGGAAGUGAAGAGGGAGAUGCUGAUCUCUUCUCCCCGGUAUCCAGUGAUAGAACAUGUCAGAAUGAUUCAAAGCUGUGCCAGGGGAGGCUUAGACUGGACGUGAGAAAGCAUUCAUUUACUGAGAGUGUGGUCAGACACUGGAGCAGGCUUCCUAGAGAUGUGGUCAAAGCCUCAAGCCUGUCAGUGUUUAAGAGGCAUCUGGACAAUGCUCUUAAUAAUAUGCUUUAACUUUUGGUCAGGCCUUAAUUGAUCAGUUGAACUAGUUGAUCAUUGAAGGUCCCUUCUGACUGAAAUCUAUUCUAUUCUAUUCUUGGCUGGCAAAUAAAUUGCUAUUUUAUCUAUUUGGAGAGACACUCUCAAACCAGUUGAGCAUAUGAAUUUACAUGCAACAAUGGAAAAUGAUGAGGGGUUACUGUGCAGACUUUGCCUGUGCUAUCAGUAUGUAUUUUUACAAAUGUAUGAAUGUCAAUACCUAAUGCUGAUAUACAUUAAUUUAAAAAGGGAAAGUGAAAGAAAACUAACCACAUUCAGAUAUUCCUAUUUAUCAGUAUUGUGGCUCACAUCAAGUAUAUUGUAGACAUUCUUAGCAAUUUAAAUAAUAAUAAAAAAAAAAAAAAAAAAAAAAACAAACCCCAAAAUACUUUUGACCUUCACAAGCAUAAAAGCUGCAGCAAGAUACAUGAUACGCUAUCAAAAAUGUUAUUGAGUGGUAUUAGAUCAAAUUUGUUUUGUCUUUUGUUCAUAAUGUAAUAGCAAAUAAGUUUAUGAAAUGUUUAGUGAGGUAUAAAAGCAUACUUCAAACAAAAUCAAUUAUACUAUUAUAAUUUAAUUUUCAUGUUAUUUAGGAUACAUUGAACAAACUGUAAACCUAAAACAAAACAGAAGAAUACUCAAAAUUAUUCCAAAUUAAAAUCUGUCACCAUGACACUAACCUAUAUUCAAGAACUUAAAGCUCUGUUAAAUUCCUAUUCACAUCACAGUAAUUCUUCAAACAAGAUAUUUUUUCACAAUUUGAAUUAUCUUAAACUACAAGUCUUGAAAUGUUAAUUAUGUUAAUACAUUUUAAAGUUAGAAAACCCUAAAUAGUUUUCAUCCUUGUUUGUAGAGCUCUUUCAAACUUCCUUAGCAUUAUGUUUAUGAAGGUUGGGUUAGCCUUACUUUACCAAGGGUAACCUUCUUUUUCUAGGUCACUUCAUUUGGGAUCCUUUUAUCACAAAGAGACUGUCAGUAAGAGAUGAACAACUUAGGAGUGAAAAGCAAUUAUUUAUUGGCUAAUACAUGUGGUAGAUAGCUGCAACCAAUAAGCUACCAUGCAAAGCAUUAAUAUGCUUGCCAUCCCUAAUACUGAUCCCUGAUGAGUCUCAGUUGAUGGGGUAGUUUGUAGUCAGAUGAGGAAGAGCCUUCUUAUUCUUUGAACAGGCUAAUCCUUGCUGCGGCUGAAUUUUUCUCAGGAUUUUAAACCUUUUCUUGUCAGCAUUUUGCAUACUGAAUCUCUGACUUGCUGAUUGUUACUGUCUCAACACCUAAACUUCUCACCUCCCCCCCCCCGCCAUUUUUUUUUUGUCUUCCUGAACUUCAGACCACUUACUUUCUCACACUUAAACUAAUUUCUUUCAGCAAAAUGGUGCCAUAGUCACACAGCUGUGCUGCAGUAAACUAAGUCUUUGAUCUCCAACAGCUGAAACCAUUGGUCAAGGGUUACACUAGUGUACUGUAAUUUGUUGUAUGUACAUUUGUAUAGGAGGUAUUGGAUUUAUUAUAUUAAAAUUGUAAUAAUUGUCAGUUAAAGUUCAAAUUGAGUCCAUCUUUUUAAAACAACCUGGUUUUGUUUUGGUUUGUUUUUUUUUUUUGAGGUGGAGUUUAUAUGUCUUAAACAUUUUUUUUUUUUUUAAUCUGCCUGCAUAUUAUCUCUUUUUUUUUUCAGGUCUUGAAACAAUUAAAUACUAUCCUGCAAUUUGAUCACAAAGAGGCCUUUUAGCCCUGUACUGUGUGAAAUUUGAAAUAUUCUAUGUUCCAUGAUUUGAUAAAUUUUCAUUCUUUAUUGAGUAUACAGAAGUCCUAGAGAACCAAAUGGGGGAUAAAUCUAUAGAAGCUGAGAUGGGAACUUUCCUUUUCUUAAAUAUAUAUUUUAACUCUUUCUAAUCAGGAAAGAAAUUAUCAUUAGUGGGGUAGAUUUCAAUUGCUUCCUUCUGAAAGUUUCUUCCUACUCCGCAUUCAUCAGGUGUUGCUCCCUAAAUUUAAUGUUUUCUGUGGAGUUAGAUGUAGGAUUCUAAGGUAAACAAGGUGAAAUGUUUUAGAUUAAUAUAAAAUUAGAACACAAGUAUUUUGUAUAGAAAGUAUGUGAUUUAGAGAAGGAGGGAGAGAAUGUAUGCAGAAUAUUUUUAGGAUCUGUUGAAGUUUACUUGAUAAUAAAGAUGAAGAUAAUAAAUAUUUAGUCUUCUUGAAGCAAUAGAUUCUAUAGCAGGUGUAGCACUUGAUUCUCAGCUCAAUAUAUUUAAUUUUUUGCCGUUUAUUCUGUAUUUUUUUUAAAGUAGUCAUUGAAUGGUGGAAGUUCUCCAUGUAAAUCAUAGAGUCCGUGAAAAAACAGCUGACACACCAACAUCAUCAUCAACAACAACAGAAUAAGGAAUUUAACGGAUACUUUUGAACAGAAUUUUCUGUCAUCUGUGUAUUUUAUGUAUUCACUUUUUAUAGCCUUGUUGCUGGUACCAUUUAAGAGAGUUGCGGUCCAGCAAUGUUGUAUAUGUGUAUGUAUGCAUUACUAAACAUUAAUAAAAGUGCCAUUUAAGUACAAUAAAUUCAAGAUAAUAAUUCAAGUUGUUUGUCAGAUACUGGAAAUGAAGUGUCUCAGAUCUCAGGCUUUUUUUUAACCCCCUCCCACCCUAACACUUUAAUCUAUCCCAUCUGCAUACACACUCUUUGGUGAUAUCUUUUUGCUUGUUUCACAUCUCCGACUAUUUGGAAGUCAAAGAAGGAAUCAUCAUGAUACUAUUAGAAGUACAAAUUGUUAAUUGUGCUUGGAGAAAUCCCAAACCAUGAAUAGCAGUAUUUUUUAAAAAUAAUUUAAUGUCUUGCUUUGACCUCUCCAGAUCAAUAAACAUUGAUACCACUUUUCCUCUGAGUGUCAUUGUCUUAUUUGAUCAUAGCAGCAGCCAAAAAAUGAAGUCUGAGUUGCAUGAAUUGCAUGGCAAGGUUUGUGUCAAAAUGUUGUACUUAUUAGAACUGAUGGGCAGAUGUGGAUGCUGUCAGGAACAAGACCUGACCUGGAGAUGCUAUUGAUUUGCCUGUCCAGCUGUGCUCCUGUUAGCCAGGGAGAAACCCUGCCCAAGCUGACCUGCCUGCAGGGUUGACUUCUGUGUCAUGCUCAUAGUAACAGGCUUCAUCUGAGGUCCUGAAUUAUGCUACAGUGAUCAAGAGCAGGGCUGCCCACCAGGUACAGUCAGACAGCACCAAUUUCAAGAUUAAGAUAUCUUAUUACUGCUUUUCCUUCAUCUUGACUCUCCUUUUUGCCACCCUUGUACCUCACUUUAUUUGCCCCAAUCUUCUCUCUGCUGCCCUCAAUUACUUUUUCCCUACUCAUCCCAGUUUUGCUACAUCCUUAUCCAAAUCAGAUAUUUCUGCUAUUAUUACUUAGGUAACCUCAGCCUUGUAGGUUAUUAAUGACGUGGUUACCUCGGCACUGCUGGCCUGCAAGAUCCUGCCUUCUCAAAGGUCACCAGUACUCCCUCUAAUUACCUGUGAUUUUCAGUCAUUUCUCAGGUAGUUCUGCCUUAACCAUGUGCACCACUGCCAUGCCUCAUGGUGUGCUCUCUAAUUUAUGUCAGCUUCUCACACUGUUAUCUGUCACAUCCAGCAUUUUACCAUAUUGUGUCAUGUCCUGCCCAGUAAAGGUCAUCUCUGGGCAGUGUCUAGCCAAUAGCCUAAUCAUGGUCUUUCAGCCAUGACAAGAUUCCACCUUUUAUGUAACUUCACAGCUAUUUCAGGCCAAUCUUCAUGUCUAUGGCCACCUAAGUACAGACUUUUUGUUAUACUUUUAACACAGGUAACCGUGAAAAUCAAAAUGCCAAUGAUAAAAGGUUGAUUAAAGCCAAAAUAGUGAUAAGUGCCCAUCGCUUUUGUCCUCCUCUUCCUAACGUAUCUAUCCACAGCUAAUGUUUCCAGGAACACCAUUAACAGCAUUUUCCAUUGAGAGACUUCAAAUAAGUAUUAUUUAUAACCUUCUUGUUUUGAUUCCUUUUCUCAAAUGCUUUAACCCUAAUGAAAAAAGUUUACCUCUCUGUUGUCAUGUCUAGUCCAUCAUCAUUAUAGUCUGUCAUGUUUCACUUAUUAUUUAUUUCUUUAUGAACUUUGACAUAAUCUUCUCACUGAAAUUUAUCCAUACUGUAAAACCAUACUUUAAAAUCUCUCCUAUUAGAAAAAAUUAACUCCUGUUUUCAGAUUUUGUUAGACAUUUACAUUUCAUUUAAAUGAUCCUUAUAAAGUUUAAUUGACCAAGAAAAUAAUUCUAAUUACAAAGCUGUGUCUGAAAAUUUUGUAAUCCAUUCAUUUUGUAUUUUCUGUAUGAAGAUUUGCUAUCAAGUAGCAGAAUGGAGGAUUUUAGCUAAAUAAAAAAAAGUCUACGUUUGUGAACACUACUAGCAGAAUAAAAUAUUACAUUAUGUUAAAAUGUUAUUAAGAGCAAACUGUGAUUUAAAAAGUUAAUUAAAAAGUGCUAUCAAAGUCAAUUCCAGUUUCAGAGGUAUUGAUUAUUCCUUCUGAGCUCUCCAUUCUAACUAUACAGAAAAUUACUACCGAUUGCUGGAGUUUGAGAACUGAAAACUGAUAUCUCUAAUUUAGCCACAUAUUACUUUUUUAUAAUUUAUGUCUGAAAGAAAAGAUAGCUGAAACAUUCUUGAUAAUUUAAUUAUUAAAGAUUUGUAAAUUAAACUCCAAAAGAUAUUUAUAUGUUUUAAAAGUGUGAAAGUAGCACAUCAGUGAAUCUGGUACACAUAUUAUCCAGAACUUGAUCCUCCUGUUAAUGUGCCUCACAGUUAAAGUCAUUGGGCUUGCUGCUUACAUACAGAGCAAAUGCACACACUAUGCUCUCUACUCCAUGUGUAAUCCCUUCAGGUCUCUUUUCAAAUGUAGUUUAGGUGUUAAGACAGAUUUUUAAGGAUAAAUCUGCAUCUGGAAUAAUGAAUUUGGUAAGAACAUAGGAUAAAGUGGGUGUUGUGUUGCACAGGGUAGGAAUUAGCUCCAGACUGCAGAGACUAAAAUUUCCAUGCACUUAGAUAUUAUACGUGAUUUUGAAAGCUAAAUACUGUGGUUUACAUCAUAGUAGAUGGUAAGAUUGGGCACCAUACAGUUGCCUUGACAUUCAAAGACAUAUGACGGAUAUGAUAGAUACGGCACAGUCCCUGUGCCCUUCCCAAGUGACAGUUGCAUAAGAUGAUACCUGAAGAUGCCUCUCUUCUGCUGAUAACUUUUUUUUUUUAUAUUUGACAUAUUCUAUUAACUAGUGCCAAUUAUGUUUUUUUUAUGUAUUGUUUCAGGUUAUUCUUGCUAUAGUGUAUUCAUGUCCUGUAGAAGUUUCUGAUUUUCCUGUGCAUUCUGUUUAUGUGUUUACACAACAAAUUCUUAAAUGCUGUGUUAGCUCUCAUAACUGAACUAAGUGUAGUAUAUGGACAGAGAAAUGUGAUGUCUGAGUCCUUUAUGCACUUGAAAGUUGAAUGACACCACAGUCACUAAGUUCCUUUGUCAGUACUUCUUUACCUGUAAUUUAGUAACUGGUAUGUUUAGAUUUAUAUGGAUGCUCGAAGGAAUGCCUAGCCAAACAAGUCAGGUAAGCUUACUUCAAAGUUCAAUUAAGUUAAGGUCCAGCAUAAAUUGUUGAAGUAAAAUCUGACAUCCUUACACUGCCAUGUCAUAUCAUUCCUUCUCAAUGGAAAUCUAGCUGAGUGGAUAGAGAUCUAACUUAACAAUGUGUCUUCCAGAGCAUCACGUAUGGACUAGUUUUGGCCAAGUGAAACCGAGAAGUAAAAGCUGUGUAAGUUUGAAAGCCUGUGAUGCUACAGAAAAAGUAAUAUAAAUGAUGAGAUGGAGAAUGGCUAAGAAGGAAUGGUAUCCUGGCAAUGUGGUGGAAGAAACUAAAAGAAUGUGCCAACAGGCCUGAGAGAGAAGAAAUCUUUUCACCAUUUUGUGUAUGAGUUCUGUUAAAGUUGGUCAUGAGUUCAGUGAUGAAGAUUUAUAGAACGUUAUUCCUUCCUGCUAUUUUAAUUUAAUUUAAAGAGUAUGGUUUAACCUAUAAAAAUUUCUAGCCAGAAGGUUUCAGAAAUAUAUUUAGGAGUUCUUUUUAAUUAAAAACAGGAUAACGGUUUGCAAUAUGUUAGCCUGGCAUUUAAUAAGAUGACCUAGAAUCAUAAAAAUGCACUCAAUUAUAUUUUUUUUAAAAUUCCUCUUGGAGCUGCCUGAAGAUUUACUCUGUAUACAAAUUUAAAUUAAUAAUAUAUAUUGUGAUAUAAUAAAUACCUUUUUCAAUCAUACAAAUGUUUCUUAUUGUGACCAUCACAGACAAUUUAUCCAGAGCUGUAUAGUCCAAAGAAGAACUCAGGACUGCCUUCUGAGCUCUCAAAGAACUCAAAUCACUUUUCAUGCUGUCAUCCAGAUAAGUCAUAUUUGUGAGGUCUCUCUUCUCUCUUUUACCAGAUUGCUUGGGUAGAUUAGGAAUUAUUCUUCUUGAUUGUUUGUUUAGUUUUUUUUUGUUUAAUUACUUGCUUUUACAGAAGCAAUUAAGGCUGUGUACUCCAAAAUACAUCAAUCCAAUUUCAUGACAUAAAUUAGUUCAAUUAUGUUAAAAGCAAAAUCUCUUCUACUGUAGUUUCAAAAUUUCUAGUUUGACAUAAUUACUUCAGAUAUACUUUGUUUAUGAAUAGCUCAUUUUGAAACAAUAAAAAAUACUAGUCACAAAGUAUUGCUAUAAUAAACAAGUUUCUACUAUGAUUAACAUAUUCCUUUAAUAGAUAGAAACAAACAAUGUGUCUGAAAUGAAUAUGGGUUUGGAUCCCAAAAGGAAUUUAGACACUGCAGCAUAUUAUUGAAGUACCUAAUUUUUAAGUCCAGUUUUUAGAUGUCUUCAUUGCAGACUGAAAUCCCGAUCAUUUUUGUUAGACUAUUAGCUUCCUAAACAAAGUUCUAUUUUUGAGACUGAUUAGAAGACUGGAGUGCUGAAUGAUGAGCUGAUAGUUAGCCAAUAAUGAGAAGCAUCUACUCAGUGCCAUUACUCUUCAGACAAUACUGAUCGCCAAGGAGGCUGUUUUCUUCACUCAUGAUUAACAGUCCUUCUUAAAAUACAAGAGCACAGCAAGAAGAACUUUUAUUCUUUUUCACACAGCUGUUUAUUAGGAUGUAGUAGAUGGAAAUUCAGAGUCCUUCAUCUCCUGGAAGACUUGAACAUAGUGGGUUGGGUUUUUUUGGUUUUUUUUUGGCAGGUUGUCCUGCAAGCUAUGGGCUAUUGUGGAAUAAAGCUGCAACUUGAAGACAAAAUUUAAAGUAUUCGUUUGUCUUGACUGAAAGAAAAAAGCAUGAAUAAGCUACUGGAUGAAGAGGAUCUUAUUUAUCCACUUAUCUAUUAAUCCUGUCCUUUACAGUGUCUUAAUUUUUUCCAGUAUAAGACAAUGAGUUAUUAAGGUAUAAUUCUCUGCCUACCCAUGAAAACUUCUUUAGAAAUUAUCCAUGUUUACUCCUCUGCAAUCACAGAAUCAAAGAAUGGCUGGGGUUGGGAGGGAUCUCUGGAGAUCACCUAGUCCAUCCCACCUGCUAAAGCAGAUUCACCUAGAGCAGAUCACACAGGAAUACAUCCACAUGGGUUUUGAACAUCACCAGAAGAAGGAGACUCGAUAACCUCUCUGGGCAGCCUGUCCAGUGCUCUGGCACCCUUAAAGUAAAGAAGUUUGUUCUCAUAGUCAGAUGGAACCUCCUAUGCUUCAGUCUAUGCCUGUUGCCCAUCAUCCUAUCAUUGGGCAUCACUGAAAAGAGUCUUGUCCCAUCCUCUUGACACCCUCCCUUGAGACAUUUACAAGCAUUGCUAAAAUCCCCUCUCAACCUUCUCUUCUCCAGGAUGAACAGACCCAGCUCCCUCAGUCUUUCCAUAUAAGAAAUGUGUUCUAGGCCCCUAAUCAUCUUUGUAGCCGGUCACUGGACUCCCUCCAGUGAUUCCUUGUCCUUCCUAAAUUGGGGAGUGCAGAACUGGACACAGUACUCCAGAUGCAGCCUCACCAGGGCAGAGUGGAGGGGGAGGAGAACCUCCCUCGACCUGCUGGUCACACUUUUCCUAAUGCAGCCCAGGAUACCAUUGGCCUUUUUGGCCACAAGGGCACAUUGUUGACUCAUGGUCGACUUGUUGUUGACCAGGACUCCCAGGUCCUUCUCUGCAGUGCUGAUUUUCAGCAGGUCCACCCCUAACCUGUACUGGUAUCAAUGCAGUUUGAGAUAAAAGAUCACAUGCCUUUAAUAAAAAAAAAUCUGAUUCAUUCAAGUGAGGUGAUUUUUUUUCUUGUUUAUUUAUGCACGUGCCAUAGGUUUUCCUACAAUCCCUUCAAUUUUAGACAAAUUCUCUGCAGAGCCCUUUCCAGAAAGAAUUCUGCUGUGAGAACUGAUCUCUUGUGUUAGCUGGAUAGAUUUGAGUAUACAAAAUUAAGUAAUUUGAAAAUACUUUACAUUUAGUAAGAAGAUUGGCACCCAUUACUUCUGAAUGAAGGGGUUUAUAAAACAUAAUUUUGGCCUAUAUCAAUGCAUUAUCAGAGAAGAAGAACACAUAGGACUAUCCCCUAAGCUCAAAAUUCUGCCCGGCUUCCACUUGGAUGUAAUAUGUUCAAUAUCUCACCUAUUAUUACUCUCUUCUGUUUCUCCUCAACUUGUCCCAGGAGUUACUAGUAAAUUGCUAUGUCUAAAUAGUAAUAACAAAGGUACUCCGAGACAAAAUGUCUUUUAUCUAAUGCACCUUGAUGCAAGAUGAGCACUGUCAAGGUAUGCACACAACUCUGAACAGAUUUAAGUCUCCUGAAUUUCUAUUAUUUCUGAGAAGAAAUCAGUAAUAUAGGAAUGAGAUAUUAUUAUUUUAAUCAUUGUUUGUCAAAAUAGCGGUCACCACUGCAACAUGAAGUUCAGUUAAGAUACAGCACUGACUGUUGGAUAUCUCUGGGUUUAGUUAGAGCUACCUUUUAAAAAUAGUUAUGGUUUUAGUUCACUGUUUAAUUGUUCACUAUUUUAAUUGUUACAAAGUGACUUGUUUCUCAGUUACUGAGAAAGAUUUUUUUUUUUUAAUUUUAGAUGCCGCUGGUAUCUGCUACUAAGGUAAUUUUAAUGUUCAUUCUGGCUUGUGAAACAAUAAUAUUGAUUAUCUCUGUUAGAUGGAAGUUAUUAACUUGUGAAAUUAUUAACCUCUGACAUGAAUGAGAGGUAAAUGUGAAUGCUUUAUUUCUAAGGGCACUGUAAAUUCACUUGUUGAACUUAAUAGCUCAUUACCUAAGGAAUAUUUGGCUAAUUACUCUUGCCAAGAACUAUAUAUAAAUAAAUACAAUAUGAAACAUGACAAAAAUAAUACCUAACAUAAAUAAUUUCUAUAUUGUUAUAGUACUGGAGAAUAACACAACCCACUAUCCCUUCAAUAAUUCACAGUCAGUGAAAGGAUGAAGUAUUCAUAAACAAUAGGACUUUUAAGUUACAAGGGAUUCAAAGAAAACAGGAGCUCAGAUAAUGAUGUUGGCUGACUGUUUUGCUCAUAUAAUUGCAAUGCAGUGAUAGUUUAUCCUAAGAUUAAUGAAGUAUGACAUGUUAUGUUUUUCUGGUGACACUGCUGAUACUGCAAAUGCCAUAUGUUCAUUGGAUUUUAUACUGUGUUGUGCUUAACAGUGUACUUGCAACUAUAAACAGCAUUUGUGUGUUAUAAUUAAUCUUUGAUAAAUGAAUGUCCACAUCAGAUUACAGUUAGAUCGUUUUAAUUAAGUAGAUAUAUUUUCUCUUCAUUGCAAUGGUAGAGGUAAGAUGCUCAUUAUGUUCUCACUCAUUCACAUUUUUUCAUACUGAACACAACCAUGUUUGUCAAAAUCUGCUGUGGGAAUUAGCUACAGUGGACACUCUUAGAUGUCUUGCUGGCCUACAGACUAUUCCAAGCUGAUACAGAGAUCAAUGUGUCCAGGCUGGAAAGUACUGAUGCUUUACAGAGGCUUUUUCAAAAUAAUGGUAACUGUGUGAGUAACUGAUAGAUCUAACCUGAAGCCAACCUCUGAAGUAUGAUUAUAAGCAAGACUCAAUAGAUGUCUUGGAAGCCUUAAUUUGGGUUCGGGAAAUUUGCCUGUGCCCAAGCCCAAAAUCUGGCUACAGUAAGUGAUGCAUAAAGAAAUAUAUAAAGCCUACUCCUGUUUGACCAAAAUCACUAGUAUCACUCUGCUUUGUUUAUAUGCAUGCCUGUAGGCAGUCUCAUUCUUAUCUGUUUGCACUGCCAAGACCCUGAACCUCAAUGCCGCACACUGAAUCCGGUGCCUCUUCCAGCAUCUUCUGAAUACCCAUAUAGAAAUAUCAAACCAAAACAAAAAAAACUUUGUCAUCAUAUUUGUCCUUCAUAAAUUGCAUAAAUAAUCACUGUCUCAAAAAAUAUUUUCAGUAGAGUAUUAGUUUAUUAAUGCACAAUAGUAGUGCAGCUGUUGAAAUGCUGAGAGAAAUGCAAAAUUUGUGAUUAAUUUAUCCCUUCAGUUUCAGAAGCAACAAAUUCAUAUCAUCCAGCUUUUAGGAGAUAUGGGAGUUAUUUCCACACUUGUUGUAUCUCUCCUUAUACAUUAAAUAUUCUUAUUCUUAUUGCAUAACAGCACCAUUUCAAAAGGAGAAACCAAGAAAACUUAUCUGCUCUAACCCAACAUCUGUUACUGUAAAAGCUUUUUCCUGUGAAGUCCAGGAUGUUUAUUUUACCCUCUUGAUGUAAGAUGUGAAUUAAAUGAAAGUCUUUGACAGCCUGGACCAGUCUGCUGACUCUAAAGAAAUAAUGUAAAAUAGAAACAAGACUCCAGUUUGCCUCCUAGCAGUUGUUUUAUAAAAUUCAAAAAGUCACAAGUCUUGACAAUGGCUUAUAAAUAAAUAUACUUUUUUUUUCAAGGUCUGUGGAAUGUACAUGCUGCUUUACCAAUAGUUUUCCCAGGAGAUAACACCAAAGUACUUCUAGGGAAAUCCAGAGCUAGAGAAGCACAUAGUGAGUUUAGAUGAUUUAUUCACAGAACUUGUGAAUCGUAAGGAUGGUACCUACUUAAAAAGCAAGAUUCACUACAGCUAUUGUCAGUAUGCUAGCCUGUAGUUAAGUGUGUACAAUGUACCCAUUUAUAGCAAUUUGUGUCCUGCAACGUAGCCAUGGCUCAUAAAGCAUACUUCUGCUGGAACUUGACAUAACUGAAUGAAAAUCAGUCACCCAAAAGAGCAAAGGAACCAGUGAGCAGCAAGGUGGAGAACAUAUAGUGAACAAACUGUACCAUACAUUUCAAGUGUUUGAAACAGCUUCGGCUCAAGACAUUUCUUUGACUAUACCUUGAGGAGUUCCUACUAUUUGGAGAUUUUUUUUUCUUUUGUAGCUGAAUGUCUCUAUUAGGAUAACAUUUUCCCCUUUAUUAUUUUCUAGAGAUGUAUAAGUUUUUGUGAGGAAACGUAACAGAAAAUAAAGGCAAGUUUAAAAUGAAGACAAUGAAAAGAAAAAUCUUCACUUCUAAUAAUCACCCAUCUCUGUAUAAAACCAUAUUGACCAGCCUGUAAAUCAGGCGGAUUUGGCUGUCAGUACCAGAAUGAAUAUUUUUGGGUGGUAUAUAUAACAGAUAUAAAUUCUUUAUAUGUUUUCCAAAGUAUUAUUCACCAAGAUAUUAUUCACAGAAGCUUAUUGGCAAAGUAGUUGCCAAAACAUUUUCUUUCUUUAAGCUCGAUAAAGAAGAAUCUGAGAGUAGCAGCAAAGAGGACUCUGUUGUCAGAGAAAUACGCAGAAAAUAUACAUUUACUAUGGGUCAUCCAAAUAUUGCACAGUUUUCGGCCUUAUUUGCAAACCAAAUUUAUCCAACGAUUUGAUAAAGGAGCUGCAUUUAUACUAUUUUUUCCAACAAUAGAAAUAAAUAAGAGGAAGCCUCAGAAGUAAAAAAAUCACAGAUUCCAAUGAUUUUGUUCUUAAGUAUAAAUACAAAUUUACAUUCUCAGAAAUAUCAAAAUGAUAAUGAUUUACAUCCAUAUCCUGCAGCUGCAAAUGACUGCAUGAUCAAGAGCACUAUAGAAUCGUAUCCCUUUCUGUUUGACUAAUAUAUUUUUUCCAGAAUCCAUUUCAUUAGGCUGAUUUCUAAGCAUUUUUCAAGUACUUUGCUUUUGUUUAACAGAAGUCUCAACUCUUAAUGAAUUCUCAUAUCCUUCUUGACAGUUCUUAGAAGCAGAUUUACAUUUUUAGAUACAAUGUUUUAUAUAAUGACGAGUAUUGAUUUUGAUCAUUGAAAGCAGAUGCAGUACUGAAAAUAAUAAUAAAAAGUUUUUCUUUAUAGAAUAGCCUCAAGUGUUUUACUUUAUUAAUAUUAAUGCUGUUAAUAAUGUAUUAAUAACAGAAGCCAUUGCAAUGCAAAUUGGCAUGGUUCCCUGAAUUUGGUAGGACUAUAUCCAGUAAAUCUGUCUAAGAAAAUGAUUCAGUUUCUAACUGAACCUGGGCUUUUCCCAGUGUAAUCUUAACAUUUAUGUUAAGUAAAAAUGCAUGGUUUGUUUUUGUUUUGUUUGGUUUGGUUUGGUUUGGUUUUUCCAUUUCUUAUUAAUUUUUGCAACGUUGCUACUUCUAUACAUUGCUUCUAAAAAACAUUAGUGAUUAAGUGUCUGAGGGUGUCAAAAAUGGAUGACCUUCUAGUUGGUGAAAGUAUCUAGUUUUCUAUCCUUCUAAGGACUGCAAAGUAUCUGGAAAUUUCGAGGUAUUUCUUAUAAUUUCUUUUGUUUAAAUAAAUGCAAUAUUUUUUUAUCUAUGAUUUUAUUUACUCUUUCAAUCUGCUUAAAUUUACAUUUAAAAUCAGUCUUCUCUUUUAUUGAGAGAGACUUGUAUACCACUUCUCUGAUUUUAAAAGGUGUGGUCCCCAUUGAUUUUAAAUAGCUUUGUGAAAUCAAGACCCCUUUUUUGCUAGUGUUUUUUCCAGAUAUCUAUAUUUAAACAUGUAAGAAUGCAUAAUUAUUUUAACAAGUCAUGCAUCACCUUUUUCUUUGUUGUAAAAUAAUGGAAGGGAAUUGGGAAAGUUAUACUUUUAUAUUAUGCCUGCAUGUAUUUUUUAUUAUUCUAUAAGGCAUCCUUUCUAAACCUUACAUAUGAAUCCAUAUGCCUACAUGUGUAUAUACAUGUAUAUGCACACAUAAAAAUUGUAUGUUAUUACUGCUUAUUUUUUACCCUAACUAGUUUUAAUUCUUAAUAUUUAUCUGGAAAUGCUUAAUUCUUUUUAAGAGAGACUUUGUACCAGCAUUACAACGCAAAUAACAGGGACAUAGAAUGUAGAUACUAAAAUCUCCGCUUACUUCUAGGUAUUGUUUGUUUUCAAGUAGUAAAAGAAUGUGUGGUUAGAACUGCAGUUCUACAGAACUAGUCAAGGCUAGGGCCCUUAUUCAAGAACUUUUGGAGGGCUGAGCUUAUUAUGUGGUAGCUGUCUGUAUAACUCCAGGGUGCAGUCAUGCACAAUUUAGAUAAGCAUUGUAGAGUUUGCAGUAAACGAGCUUCCAGACUAAUACAAUAGAAGUGGUCUUUAUUUGUAAUCAAAUUGAAUGUCAGAAAUUGGCUACAGAAAUAUAGCUGAAAUUUCGUACUUAAAAGGUACUUGAAAAAUUAACCACACAAUCUUAGAAUGUUUUUCUAAAUUAUUUCAGUAAAAUGUCAUGCUAUGUGUAAGUUAGCAAAAGAACUUAUAAGGAAGAAAAAACUUGUAGCCUUGUUUGUUCUCCAGUAUAUGCUGCAAGGUUUUAAUCUUGUUUGUUAGAAAAUGCUAUAAAAUAUAUCUGGAGUGAAUUUAAAUUACAUAAUGAGUAAAGUGUUGGAAGGGGACAGAAAUUGUCCUUUUUAUGCGUAAAAGAGAUAUACAUGUCUAAUUUCCCUUAUCAGAAAUCAAGAAAGGAAUCAAAAUAACUAUUUAAACUUAAUAAUUUCCUCCAAAUUUCAGAGCUGCUCUCAUUUAAAAUCAAUAAUGUUUCCAGGUUAACACUGUACUCAUUUAAUAUACGGAGACCCUAGGGGUAGGGGACAUUUACGUGUCAGCUUUUAAGUGAUUUCACUUGCUAAUUCUGCCAGCAAAAUCAGAUGACGUCCCAAAUGGGGAGAACUAAUUAAAAAUUAGAUGUCUUCAUGACUUUUUCACUUAGAGUAAAACCUCAAAACUAGAAUGUUGCAGUCAUUCUGUAGGGAAGAUUUGUCAAAUAUCUUUUUUUUAGAGUAGAUGAGCUUCUGGGUGUGUAAAGUUAACAUCUUCAAUCCACAGCUUAAAUCCUCAUGAUAUAAAUAAGAGUUUCACAGAAAGAUGAAGGAAAGUCCAUACGGUCAUGUGUCUUAAGCCUCUCUAGGAAACUGGAAUGAGUCAGAAAGACAGGAAACAGAGACAACUUCACAUUGACCAACUGUUUUCUUUAAUAGAUAGACUCAGACAUCUUAGAAUCAUAGAAUCAUUUCAGUUGGAAGAGACCCUCAAGAUCAUCGAGUCCAAUCAUAAACUAGCUCUAUGACUAAACCAUGUCCCUAAGAACCUCGUCUAUACACCUCUUAAACACCUCCAAGGAUAGUGACUCAACCACUUCCCUGGGCAGCCUGUUCCACUGCUUCACAACCCUUUCCAUGAAUAAUUUUUUCCUAGUAUCCAAUCUGAACCUUCUCUGAUGCAACUUGUGGCCAUUUUCUCUUGUCAGUUGCUACGUGGGAGAAGUGACCAACACCCUCCAUGCUAUAACCUCCUUUCAGGUAGUUGUACAGAGCAAUAAGGUCUCCCCUCUCCAGGUUAAACAGCCCUAGUUCCCUCAGCUGCUCCUCAUCACACUUGUGCUCCAGGCCCCUCACCAGAUUCGUUGCCCUCCUCUGUACUCUCUCUAGUAUCUCAAUGUACUUCUUAUGAUGAGGGGCCCAAAACUGAACACAAUAUUUAAGAUGGGGCCUCACCUCAAGUACAUGGAGAUGAUCCUUUCCCUAGUCCUGCUGGCUACAUUAUUCUGGGUUCACGCCAAGGUGCUGUUGGUCUUUUUGGUCACCUGGGCACACUGCUGGUUCGUAUUCAGCUGGCUUUUGAUCAACAUCCCCAGAUCCUUUUCUGCUAGGCAUCUUUCCAGUCACUCACUGCAUUUAAGAGUAACAGUUUCUUAACUUUGUCAGAGGUAUUUGUUGACCCUUUAAUUGGCUUUAUACAUAAUCUCUGUAGAAGGGUUUAUACAUAAUCUCUGUAUCAUGGGUUUACUCCCUAUCAUGACCUUGAGCUAAUACACAGAGAAAGUCACAACUGGAACUUAAAUAAGUGUAAAAAGAACCUGUCAGCCAUUUACAGCUUCUAUAAGCUGAACAUUAAAAAUAAAACAGAUGACAGAAACAGAAUAAAAACAACUAUAAAGAGCAAGAAAGAUCACAUUGUGAGAAAAGCACAUACUAUCCUGCUUCUUUUAUUUUCAUGUUGAGUUUGUUGUUCAUGAAAUUAUAAAUAAGAAACUAAUAAAUAUGGUGAUCUAUUAAUAUUAUCAUGAUCUAAUCAAAUCCAAACAAGACUUUUCCCAUUUUCUUUUUUUUUUUUUUAAUCUUAACAGACAAACUUUAUAAAUAAGAACCAUCUGAUAUGAUUAAGAAAUUUAGAAAUGUAAUGUAGUACUACAUAUGUCCAGAUUAAUCUUAGCCCCCCCCAAAAAAAGCCAAGACAUCCCACUCAAGUAUCUGCAGAAUAGUUAAUGACAAUAGAAACCUUAAUGAUCUACAACCUCUUGUCCUGGUUUAGGUCUGGCUGCCAAUAUUUUGCCCUAGAGCACUUCUUCAGACAGUCCCAGAAAGUGAAGAUUUGGUCCUCUUAGGGCAAGUUACAUGUUUGGAAGGAAAAGAAAUGGAAAAAAAAAAAAAAAAAAAAGAAAAGCCACCACAACAAAAUAAAAACAGACUCAUAAACAAACAAACUAACAACAAACCAAUCAACCAACCAAAACUAGCCAAAACAAUCCUUCUGCUUCAGAUCAGGAAGUAACCAGUUUACAAGUCAAUAAAAACAGUAAACCUGACUACUGGUAGGAAAAGGUAUGUAUUUCACAUAUAAUAGAAACAAUGGAAAAGAUUGUCCAUUAAGAAAGUAUUGAAUCUUAGCAGCAGUGUAUGAGAGCGAGCUCUGAAAAAGUGAGAAGGGAAGGAAAAAAUAAAGUAAGAUCUGGUGCUAAAUGUUCAUGUGUCAGACCAAAGUGGCAGGUUUGAGCAGCUGGGAGCUGCAGGAUGCCAUGAGGGCCACAUUGGCUCUGACACCACUGCAAACAUCCCGUUUCACCCCAAACUGAAGCCAGGCAGCAGAGGGGGGCAGGUCCUUGGGCUCACAUGUACUUAAGAAAUAUUGGCAGCUAGGGGGCACAGAAGGGACAUCAAGGAGAGGCAGUUUCAGAGACUUGUGCAGAAAAGGUGCCUGGGGAGACACAUGGUGAUAGACUCUUUGGGGAUAUGUGGGGAGACACAUGUAGAUGCUGUGCAAGGUGCUGUUGGAGACAUACAGAAAGACAGACAUUGACAGAAGAGAGUCUCCAGGGGCAGAUGGAAGAGGACCUAGGGCAGGACUGACAGUACUGAAGAAGAAGGUAGCAAAGUGAUACCCAGGGGACUCCACAGCCCAGGCCCCUGAUCAUGCACCACACAGCUGUGACCACUGAGCUGACCCAUCUGACCUUCCUCCUAGACUGCACUGUCUGCCUCAUGAGACAUUUUGAGCUCAUAUAAGUAUUUGGUGAUGAAGAUUUACAAAAAUAAAAUUUUAAAACUUCAUAAGUCUUAUUUGAUUCGUGUAAAAAGUCCUGUUAUAGAACAUUGUCCUGGUCUUGCUAAAAACAAGUUUCUCUUUUAGUGAAUUUGCCUGUCAGCUAAAGCCUUCAUAUUAACUGCGUUUUCCUGGAGAACCAGACACAUGUUUUGGUAAAGCUAGCAAUGGAAUGCAAACUUAUUGAUAAGCACGAAUGGACAUCUCGCGAGAGGGGCGACGAGAAACAAGUGACCAAGAAACUGACCAACUGUGUAUAACAUUGCAUUCACGUGAAUACCUCAUAUAAAAGUGGGAGAUCACGAGGAUCUCGUCCCUUUUGCUCCCUUUUCCCUUUUUGCCUUUGCUUUUUUCCUUAUGGCCGACAUUAGGAGAGGACCUUGCUAGUCGUCCCUGCGAACUGAGGCCUAGUGACAGACUGA